rnacentral:rRNA from 1 species
GCUUAACACAUGCAAGUCGAACGGUGUCUUCGGACACAGUGGCGGACGGGUGAGUAACGCGUGAGAAUCUGCCUUCAGGUCUGGGACAACCACUGGAAACGGUGGCUAAUACCGGAUGUGCCGAAAGGUGAAAGGUUAACUGCCUGAAGAUGAGCUCGCGUCUGAUUAGCUAGUUGGAAGUGUAAUGGACUCCCAAGGCGACGAUCAGUAGCUGGUCUGAGAGGACGAUCAGCCACACUGGGACUGAGACACGGCCCANACUCCUACGGGAGGCAGCAGUGGGGAAUUUUCCGCAAUGGGCGAAAGCCUGACGGAGCAAUACCGCGUGAGGGAGGAAGGCUCUUGGGUCGUAAACCUCUUUUCUCAGGGAAGAACACAAUGACGGUACCUGAGGAAUAAGCAUCGGCUAACUCCGUGCCAGCAGCCGCGGUAAUAC